rnacentral:rRNA from 1 species
GCAUAUCAAUAAGCGGAGGAAAAGAAACCAACAGGGAUUGCCCUAGUAACGGCGAGUGAAGCGGCAACAGCUCAAAUUUGAAAUCUGGCUCUUUCAGGGUCCGAGUUGUAAUUUGCAGAGGGCGCUUUGGCUUUGGCAGCGGUCCAAGUUCCUUGGAACAGGACGUCACAGAGGGUGAGAAUCCCGUACGUGGUCGCUAGCUAUUGCCGUGUAAAGCCCCUUCGACGAGUCGAGUUGUUUGGGAAUGCAGCUCUAAAUGGGAGGUAAAUUUCUUCUAAAGCUAAAUACUGGCCAGAGACCGAUAGCGCACAAGUAGAGUGAUCGAAAGAUGAAAAGCACUUUGGAAAGAGAGUCAAACAGCACGUGAAAUUGUUGAAAGGGAAGCGCUUGCAGCCAGACUUGCUUGCAGUUGCUCAUCCGGACUUUUGUCCGGUGCACUCUUCUGCAGGCAGGCCAGCAUCAGUUUGGGCGGUGGGAUAAAGGUCUCUGUCACGUACCUCUCUUCGGGGAGGCCUUAUAGGGGAGACGACAUACCACCAGCCUGGACUGAGGUCCGCGCAUUUGCUAGGAUGCUGGCGUAAUGGCUGUAAGCGGCCCGUCUUGAAACACGGACCAAGGAGUCUAACAUCUAUGCGAGUGUUUGGGUGUCAAGCCCGAACGCGUAAUGAAAGUGAACGGAGGUGGGAACCCGCAAGGGUGCACCAUCGACCGAUCCUGAUGUCUUCGGAAGGAUUUGAGUAAGAGCAUGGCUGUUGGGACCCGAAAGAUGGUGAACUAUGCUUGAAUAGGGUGAAGCCAGAGGAAACUCUGGUGGAGGCUCGCAGCGGUUCUGACGUGYAMMUCGAUCGUCAAAUUUGGGCAUAGGGGCGAAAGACUAAUCGAACUAUCUAGUAGCUGGUUCCUGCCGA